UCAAGGUGUUUUCGCGGACGUAUUGGCAUGUGGAUGUUGACAGUGUCGGAAGUAUUAAUCAAAGUUGACACGAGAAGUUGGAGCGAAUGCGAGAAGAGUAUGCGACGAGCUGCCUGCCUGCUGCUGCCUACUGCCUACUCCUGCUGCUGCCGCUGCUGCUGUUGCAUCCAAUGUUGGGUAGCCAGCCACCCAUGCAUGUUGACACAGCCAGCAGCGGGCACCCAUGGCACAUGGGGAUGGACCCAGGAGUGGAGGAUGACCCAAUAGGAUGAACGUUCAGCCCACUCACUGUUGACACCAGUGACACAGUAUUGACCAGAUCUCCUGGAAGUGCCCC